GAAUCAGAGCUGCAGCUUCUGGCCUUUGACACAGCCACAGCAACACCAGAUCCUUAACCUACUGAGGCACGCCAGGAAUAGAACUCGAAUUCUCACAGAUAAAAGUUGGAUCCUUAACCUGCUGAACCACAAUGGGAAUUCCAAAUAAUGAAAUUUAAUGAAUAUAGUGACAUCCAUUAAGCCAGAAAUGACAAAACCUAAGUCUACACACUGUGGGUUUCCAGAUGGAUCUGAUGACUCCCAGUGUCCUUUCCAGCACUAACAGUCUACCUCUUCCGGAAGAAUUUCUUUUUCUUUUAAUUUUAUUGAAAUAUAGUUGACUUACAAUGUUGUGCAAAUUUCUGCUGCACGACAAAGUGACUCGGUUAUACAUAAACGUUUUUCUCGUAUUCUUUUCCAUUAUAGAUUCACACAGGCUAUUGAAUAUAGUUCCCUGUGCUCUACAGUACGACCUUAUUGUUAGAUCUGUCCUGGAGAAUUUCUAACCAAGCUCUGUGGUCUGUGCCUGCAGCCUGGAGGCAAAACCUAGGGCAGCAGAAUCAGGUGCCUAUUGGGUAUCCUAUUAAAAUGCAGAUUCCGAUUCAGGUCUGUGUUGGAGCCUAGGGUCUGCAUUUUCAACAGACUUCCAGGUGAUGCUGAUUCUGCUGUGACAUUCACGUUGGUAGCUUGAAAUCAGCCACAGCUGAAGUAAUUAUACCAAAAAAAUCAGCAAUGCAAGGCAGGGUCCAAUUUCUUGUUUUAUUGUCUUUGAGACUUAAGAAAGUGAUGGGAAAAUAGUAAAAUUUACAAUAAAUUAUACAUAUAAAGGCACACUACAAAUACAGACAGACGGGUUCUCUUGCAGCGCAGCAGGUUAAGGAUCCAGCAUUGUUAACUGCUGUGGCUACAGUUUGAACCCUGGCUGGGGAACUUCUGUCACACGUGCAGCCAAAAAAACCAAACCAAAACAGACAGACAGAAACACAUUCCGCCCCCAGAGAAGCAGCUGUUAAACACUCACCAUACCCCACUGAUUAUAUAGAAAUGUAUAAGACAACCACAUAAAUAUAUGUCUUAGAAGUUGGCAAAUUCCUAUAAAAAUCCAGAGUAAAUAUUUUAAGUUUGUUGACAGUCUGUUAAAAGGACUCAACUAAGAGUUCCCGUCACUGCUCAGUGAUUAACAAACCUGACUAGUGUCCAUGAGGACCCAGGUUUGACCCCUGGCCUUGCUCAGUGGGUUAAGGAUCCAGCGUUGCCUCAAGCUGUGGUGUAGGUUGCAGACAUGGCUCGGAUCCCUCGUUGCUGUGGCUGUGGUGUAGGCCGGCAGUUGCAGCUCCGAUUCAACUCCUAGCCUGGGAACCUCCAUAUGCCGUGGGGGCGGCCCUAAAAAGACAAAAAGUUAAAAAAAAAACUCAACUCUGAUGUUGUAGCUCAAAAACAGCCAUAGGCAUUUUGUAAAUUAGUAUGGCUGUUUUCAAAUAAACUUAAAUUUAUGGACACUGAAAUUUAAAUUGUAUACAGUGUUCACAUGUCAUGAGCCAUUAUUCUUCUUUUGACUUUCUCCCCAAAAUUAAAAGCAUAAAAACCAGGAGUUCCGGGGUGGCCUAACAGUUAAGGAUCUGACGUUGUCACUGCUAUGGUGCUGGUCACUGCUAUGGUGCAGGUUUAAUCCCUGGCCCAGGAACUUGUGUGCCAAGGGCACAGCCAACCCCCCCCCCCCCAAAAAAAAAUCCAAAAUGUAAAAAACUACCCUUAGCUUACAAGCCAGAGGUGGCGCAAGGACUGUCGGGCCUUAAACCAAAGACAUGUGACACAAAGUCCCAAGCAGAGGGAUCACUCUUAAGUGCAAAGAUCCUGAGUUUGGUAAGCUCCCAAACACAGAAAGAUCCAUGUGUCAGAACUGCAAAUGAGCAAGGGAGCGCAUGGCAGCAGAAAACAGGGGGGCUUUGUAAGCCUAAAUGAGAGAUUUAGAAUGUAUUCCAAGUUCAGCGGAAAGUGUUUUGGAAGCAUUGAGGAAAGAUGUGCUCUUGAUCUAACAUUUUUUCCCCCCACUGUACAGCAAGGGGAUCAAGUUAUCCUUACAUGUAUACAUUUUUUUCCCCACCCUUCGUUCUGUUGCAACAUGAGUAUCUAGACAUAGUUCUCAAUGCUACCCAGCAGGAUAACUCAUAUUUUUUAAAAGAUUCCUCUGCGUGUUGCUUAUUUCCUAAAAAUGAAAGAGAGCAGAGAGAGAAGAUGCUGUUCAGUCUUCCAGGAUAGAGAUGAGGAUGAUAUGGCCUCAGGCAGUGAAAGCCUUUCUGGGGAGAACGGGUGGAUCUGGGCUCUAUUUUGGAGAGGAGGCAGAGUCCAGGGGAUGUUCUGAGGGAUCCGUAGCAGAUGCGUCGCGAAUGAGCCCAGGGGGUCCAAUAGUCUCCCCUCAGCCCUGUGAAGUUGAUCAGCCCACGUGAUCAAUAAAAACACAGAGGCUCCGUGCCAGGCCCUGUUGAGUCCACGGCCUCGACCCCCUCCCAAAAGCCAGUGAUCUUUAACUUCAGGCUUCUACUUCCCCCAACCAUCUCCCACGUCUCCACGUGAUCUCAGAAAAACGUCUGCUCAAAGUACUGGUCCCUUAGACGGAGAACUGGUCUGGGGUGACUUAGGACACCCCACGACCCUCCUGCAGGCCCCAGGCCUGCCCGCGUGGAAAGGCCCCCACUCCAGACCCAGCGAUUUACCUAUUAGAAGGCCUCGAUCGCGGCGCCCACCACAACUCACGCUCCCACCGAGGAGGGCGGGACCGCAAAACGAGCGAAAUGCGGGACGGUCAGAACCCAUCCCUGCCCGGCCGCCUUACCAACCGUUGCUUCCCGCGUCGCCCGGGAACUCCACCACGCAUGCGUCUUAACCUACCCACGCCCACACACCCCCACCCACCCUUGAUCGGCGGGAAAGGGAGGCGGGGGCGGUUAAAACGCAGGCUCGUGCUCCGAGCUUGGUCGGGCGGGGACAGUGAUCCAGAGCCCCACUGCGCGCCU
rnacentral:lncRNA from 1 species